CACGCCAAGGGAGGGGAAGGAGAAUAUUCAUCCUCUUUUCCCAUUUGGUGUCACAUGCAAUUAUUUGGGGCCCAAAGCAGGUCAGCUUAUAUCCAGGCAUAAAACAAAAAUUGCAUUGCCUUCCUAUGGAUACAAAGAGGUUCGGCUGAUGGCAGCAAGAGUUGGGAAGGCUUGGCUUACAGAGCAUUAGCUUAUCCAAGCAGAACGUUCUCCGUUCCAAUAACAGAAGCCAGGAGGAAUAAGAAACUGAUCAUUACAAAGCAUCUCUUAUAUGGAAGGCAUCAAUGAGAACCAAAAUAAAAACUACAAUCCCUCACUCAAGAAGUUUAAAAUGAAGUGAAUGGACAAUUGUGAGAAGAAAUGCUAUUGAUCUUCCAAAGUUGUAUAUUCGAUAGUGAAUAUUGUAUGUUUAAAGUAACCUUGCAAAAUGUGUCAUGUCAAAUGUAAUAAAUUGUAUGUUCUGA
rnacentral:lncRNA from 1 species